GACGAACGCUGGCGGCGUGCCUAAUACAUGCAAGUCGAACGAGAUCCCGGAGCUUGCUCCGGGGGACAGUGGCGAACGGGUGAGUAACACGUGAGGAACCUGCCCUAGAGACCGGGACAACCGUUGGAAACGACGGCUAAUACCGGAUGCCUUCACAUGGUCGCAUGGCCGAGUGAAGAAAUGCUCAGGUGCUCUAGGAGGGUCUCGCGGCCUAUCAGCUAGUUGGUGAGGUAACGGCUCACCAAGGCAUCGACGGGUAGCUGGUCUGAGAGGACGAUCAGCCACACUGGGACUGAGACACGGCCCAGACUCCUACGGGAGGCAGCAGUAGGGAAUCUUGCGCAAUGGGGGAAACCCUGACGCAGCAACGCCGCGUGUGGGAUGACGGCUUUCGGGUUGUAAACCACUUUCAGUGAUGACGAAAAUGACGGUAAUCACAGAAGAAGGUCCGGCCAACUACG
rnacentral:rRNA from 1 species